GAUGAACGCUGGCGGCGUGCCUAAUACAUGCAAGUCGAGCGAACAGACGAGGAGCUUGCUCCUCUGACGUUAGCGGCGGACGGGUGAGUAACAUGUGGAUAACCUACCUAUAAGACUGGGAUAACUUCGGGAAACCGGAGCUAAUACCGGAUAAUAUAUUGAACCGCAUGGUUCAAUAGUGAAAGACGGUUUUGCUGUCACUUAUAGAUGGAUCCGCGCCGCAUUAGCUAGUUGGUAAGGUAACGGCUUACCAAGGCGACGAUGCGUAGCCGACCCGAGAGGGUGAUCGGCCACACUGGAACUGAGACACGGUCCAGACUCCUACGGGAGGCAGCAGUAGGGAAUCUUCCGCAAUGGGCGAAAGCCUGACGGAGCAACGCCGCGUGAGUGAUGAAGGUCUUCGGAUCGUAAAACUCUGUUAUUAGGGAAGAACAAAUGUGUAAGUAACUAUGCACGUCUUGACGGUACCUAAUCAGAAAGCCACGGCUAACUACGUG
rnacentral:rRNA from 1 species